rnacentral:rRNA from 1 species
GACGGAGGAUGCAAGUGUUAUCCGGAAUCACUGGGCGUAAAGCGUCUGUAGGUGGUCAAAUAAGUCAACUGUUAAAUCUUGAGGCUCAACCUCAAAAUCGCAGUCGAAACUAUUCGACUAGAGUAUAGUAGGGGUAAAGGGAAUUUCCAGUGGAGCGGUGAAAUGCGUAGAGAUUGGAAAGAACACCGAUGGCGAAGGCACUUUACUGGGCUAUUACUAACACUGAGAGACGAAAGCUAGGGUAGCAAAUA